rnacentral:rRNA from 1 species
GAGCGGCGCACGGGAGAGUAACACGUGGGAACCUACCUUUUGGUUCGGAAUAACGUCGGGAAACUGACGCUAAUACCGGAUAAGCCCUAUGGGGGAAAGAUUUAUUGCCAAAAGAUGGGCCCGCGCAGGAUUAGCUAGUUGGUGAGGUAAUGGCUCACCAAGGCUACGAUCUUUAGCUGGUCUGAGAGGAUGACCAGUCUCACUGGGACUGAGACACGGCCCAGACUCC